ensembl:misc_RNA 7SK 7SK RNA
GGAUGUGAGGGCGAUCUGGCUGCAACAUCUGUCACCCCAUUGUCACCCAGGGUUGAUUCGGCUGAUCUGGCUGGCUAGGCGGGUGUCCCCUUCCUCCCUCACUGCUCCAUGUGCAUCCCUCCCAAAGCUGCGAGCUCGGUCAAAGAGGACGGCCUUCCCCGAAUGGAGACUGGCCAGUAGAGGGUAUAUGAGUAGCUGCGCUCCCCUGCUAAAACCUCCAAACAAGCUCUCAAAUAUAGUUUUAUCAUCUCAUAAGGUUAAAGAAAAAUGAAACGGGAGUCGGGUGGUAGCGCAGCAUCUUAAGCGCACGUGGUGCAAAGGA